GAUCAAUAUAAAGAUUUUACGAUUAAGAUACUCCGUUUUCUCCGUCAUCGUCAAGUGUUGGCAAGGGGAGUCGGGGAAGGGGAGAAGAAAUGUGCUACAGAACGUUCUUCAUUGGCUAGAGACUUGGCCAAUCAAGGCACGAUAAUGUCUCGCGCCAUGUGUGAAUAUCGCCGUGGCACGAAAUGUUGCGAAUGCUCUUACUAUAUUUUGGUUAUGUUGAUUAGUUCGAUUAAUCAAUAUGCGGACACGUUUUACUGGUGCUGACGGGCAUCAUUUUUAAGGAUGAUGGUGGAAGAUUGCAUAACGUCAAAGGUGGAUGGAUGCAGAGAGGAAUUGUAAGACACGCAUAAGAUGCUCGAUACUAAUAAUCUGUGAAUACGUGUUACUGCUGCUGACGUUAAUCAUUUUUCCUUGUUUCGGCCUACAUAUAAGAAUGGUAACCUGACUGGAGGUACGUGCAUAAGUAUCAAAACGUAAAAUAUCUUUAUAUCUCCAUUCUUCCUUGUAACAUUUUGCAAACUAAUAACCUUUUAUUGCAUUUCUGUUCUUUUCUUGAUGGUGAGAAUGAAAGCGAAAGAUUGCAUGAUGUCAAAGUUGGAUGGAUUGUGAGAGGAAUGUAACGAGAAGCCACGCAUGAGAUGCUCGAUACUCUGUGGAUACGUAAUAAUCUGUGAAUACGUGUUACUGGUGCUGACGUUAAUCAUUUUUCCUUGUUUCGGCCUACAUAUAAGAAUGGUAACCUGACUGGAGCAUAUUCUUUGCUGUAUGGGCUGCUCUAAGCUACACUUCUCGACACAGCACUCUCUGCACUACUCGAAGAAAUGUCUGACUUACAAGCUUAAAGCAAACAAAAAGAUUUUCCUAAAUCAGUAAGUAAACCAUAAGUUACGACUAAUAUUGUGCAAUAUCUAUCUUGUGAUACUACUGAAGUAAUACAAUAAUGCUCGUUUAAUAAAUUCGUCAUUUCUUAUCAUCAGGUUUUCACGUAUAAUUCGCAUUCCGUUAUACUAAUUGAACAUCUUCGAUUGAGACGAAUUUUACGCGCAUCGAUUGUCGAAGGCGAAUGACUAUAUCGAUAAAACAUCGGACGUCUUUCAAGUGAGGGCUCCAAGUAAAAGUUGUAGCAAAGUACCAAUUACAAUUUUCAGCUCCAUCAUGACGAAUUAUUGACCUGUUAUGAGAAAACGCAUUAUAAUCUGCUUUGUACGCAACAAGAUAUUAUGAUCUCAAAA